rnacentral:lncRNA from 1 species
UUUAUAGGCUUCAAAAUAACAUAAAUAUAAUGAAUUUUAUAUUUUCUACCUUUAAAAGACACAAAAUUAUUUCAAACCAUUAUAUUAAAAAUUGUAUAUAAUAUACCACCGCAAGACUUAAACUUUUGUCCUAUCAGUAUUCAGUCCACUAGACCGUCUAAUCUAGUUUGGAUGUCAGUUUUGGCACAAGUGGUUUCGGCCUCCUCCUGAUCGCAGUUGGGGAUAUCGAACUGUAGUCCUCCCU